rnacentral:lncRNA from 1 species
GAGUCUGGCCCCCGUAGGAGUCCGAGCAGAGUCCUCCUUGCGGUUGGGGUCGUGGGUGGAGCCCGACUCCCAUGGGAAUCCGGGUGGAAUCCCCUGUGUUCAAAAUCAGAUGUAAAGUCUGGCUCCCGUAGGAGUCCGGGCGGAGUCAACUUGAGGUCGGAGUUGUCGGUGGAGUCUGGCUCCCGUAGGAGUCCGGACGAAG